rnacentral:misc_RNA from 1 species
GAUAAAAAGGGAGCUGAAAAUGUUAUAGCGGAUCAUCUAUCAAGGAUUAAUUAUGAGAGUAAAGAUGAAAAUGAAGAGGAAUUGCCAAUUGAUGAGUUUUUCUCAAAUGAGCAAUUACUAGUUGUUGUUGCUGCAUUGUCAUGGUUUGCAGAUUUUAUGAAUUACCUGUCAUGUGGAGUUCUCCCACCAGAUUUGAGCUAUCAAUAGAAAAAGAAAUUUAUGCAUGAUGUGAAAUUUUAUACAUGGGAGGAUCCAUUGUUAUUUAAGAGAUGUAAUGAUGAUCUUGUAAUGGCCAGGCCCACUAGUGAUAUUGUCCGC